CCAUUAUUUGAAUUCUCCUUGACUUAAAUCAGAAAUAGGCGUAAAUGAGCUAAACUGUUUUGAAGCCCAGGGCCCGUUUGUGCCACAGCAUACUUUUAUUUCCAUCAGUGUGUUACCAACGACAUUAAGGAUCAAUUUUCUAUAUGAAAAGGGCUUUGUUGAGACAGUGAAAACAAAAUGACUCAUUAAAGAGGUUUAACCUCAAAAAUAAUGUGUAAAUAUAUUUGAAUUCUAAGCAGACCCAGUUGUAGGCUGGUUAUAUUGUGGUCAUGUGAUUUUUUGACAUUAUGAUAAACAGUACGUUUUCUAACAUUAUUAAAAGCUUGAAUAUUUUGUUCUUUUCGUUUUUGUUUUUCACAAUAAGAGAAGAGCCACCAACAGAAAGGGUCAUAAAAGAACCCUUUUAUUGCUUCUGUUCUUAAGGGAGUAGUUCUCGAACUUGGGGAACUUAUACAAAGCCACCUCCCAGAGAUUUAGAUUCAGAAGGUAAAAAGAGGGGUCCAUGAAUCGGAACAUUUACAAAGUGCUGCAGGUGAUUAUGAUGCAGAUGGGCUGGACACCACACUUUGGGGGAAAAAACCCCAACCAACCAAACAAAAAGUUUCCUUCAAACCUUAUUUGGCAUCAAAACUUCUCCCAUGUCUCAAACCCUCAGGCCUUUGCACACUCUAAGAGGCUUUGCCUCACUAUUAAAUGAGUGGGCUGGAGACCCAGACCAGCUGGAGCCUCAGAGCCCACUGGUCUUGUAUAAUUCAAGAACCAUUGAUUAGGUAUGACACACGCCAGCCCUUCUGUCUCCUUGCAAUCACAGUUUUUAUGGGAGCCCCAAGCCCUCAUGCCCACCAUGCAGAGUUUUCAUAGAACAUUUAGCGUUCCCAGAGGUUCCCCAGAGCCCACACUUUUGUUUGAGAGCCUUCCUUCUGAGUAAAAUGAAUCUCCUAAGGCUUUCUCUUUGAUGAGUGGGAACACCUGUUAAAUUCCUUCUCCCUAACCAGCUCCUGACAAGAAUAUGUUAAUCCCAUAGGGUUGAGGUCCCCUGAAGUUCUAUGACCAGCUCUGACAGGAACAGAACAAUAGUUUGCCCAGGAGCCAGCACUUAAAAUCUGCAGUAAAAUACUUGGCCUGCCUCCCGCUCCCUUUGUGCUAUCUGAAAAAAUGUGGUGUGCCGUGGUAUAUUGUUUUUGGGUAAUUCUGCAGGCCAGUCUUGAAAUGAAUGCUUGUAGGAAGCUGUCAAGAUGAACCUAGCAUUAAGCUAUAAAGGUUGGUUGGAGGUGGUUUAAAUAAAGGCAUUUGCUUGGGGUUGUACGGAAUAAUGGAACUCUUAAGUGAGAAGUCGAAAUAGCAAACACCGCUGGCUGCCAACAGCACACUGUGCCAUUAACCUUUCAUAUGAAGUCAUUGGAAGAUAACUGAAUUAUAUUUCCUUGGGCGGAUUUUUUUUUAAGAAGGUAAGUGGCAGCAGGGAUCUAUUUUUAUUAAAAAGGCUUGAGAAGUGCAGUGAAAUGGCUGUGUGUUUGCAAUCACGUCUUCCCUGUUAUUUGACAAGGCCUGAAUAAUUGGAGGCAGAAGAAUCAGUAGUUCUGCCUCGUUGCUGUGGCACUUUGCUGGAUGUGCUUUAUAAUAUUUGGGCAAAUUUGCCAUUAUCCUUGUGUCUUAAUUUCUCACUUCCUGAAAUAUGACUUUACGCUUUGUAGCAUGAUGGGACUUCCUUAAAUGUUGGCAGAUUGCUUUAUGUGUUCAGAUGUGCAAAGAGAAAAUAAUUGAAUUUAUUAAUUAUGCAUUGCAGUUCAUAUUCAUUUAAAGCUGUCAAGUGAUUAGCUGUGGGAGGUGCGUGAGAAAAGGACUGUUAAAAUGACAGCAGUUGUUGCUAUACAUAGGGCUCCUUGUUGCUAUGCCCAUAACCUCUUAAAGAAAUGCACAUUGACACUUUAAAGCCGUAGUUAAUAAAAACUGGGUUAUGGGCAACAGAGUCGUUUAUAUUUCCUCCUUUAUAGACAGCAAAGGCUGCCAUGUGCCUUCCAAAAGAGUGGAUUCCAUGUAUAGAGAUCAUGUUCCAUGACAGGAGGUGCUCAUCCUUCCUAUUUGCAAAUUCUGACUUUGCCAGGUGCUAGCAGAUGUCAUGAGAAAGACACACACAACUGUGGGUCUCAGUUUCUCUCCCUAGAAAACGGGGAAAAUACGGUGGUUGUGCAGAGUGUCCUUUUUGGUCCAGCUCACAUAGCCAGGAUGCGUUUGCUAGUUUGGGGUUAGAAAAGAAACAAAUAACAAGGCCGGCUGGUAGCUCUGCAGUGUCUGGUCUAAGUUGGUACUCAGUGCUGUUUGUGUGCACAAAGCUAAAGCUCACUGAAGCUAGCUGAGAUAAAGGGGGUUUCAUGGAAAGGACACAGCGAACUCCCAAACACAGAUAUUGCAAUGCAGCCAGCCUUCAUGGGUACUGCAGCAGGAAAUGACUAGAAAUGAAGCGGUGGUCUCCAGUGGCAGGAGUUUUCUGGCUUCUCUGUAUCUUCUCAGCCAGCUUCUUCCACUAGGUUCAAGCAUGUUUCUGAUCUCUGCAGUCUACAACUCACCACUGACUGCCUGUAGAUGCUAAGACUCAUAUUCCUUCAUUUACCAAGUAUUAAUAAGCGCCUACAGUGCUCCAGGCACUGUUUUAAGCCCUGGUCUCCUGUGGAAGAUUCAGGCAAUAAUCAGAUAAAAAGCAAACCAAUCAAUAAACAGUGCACUUUCAGAUACUGAUGAGUGAAUGCAAAAUAAAAUAAGGUAAUAAGGUAAUUGGAUGGGGGAAUGUCAUGCUGCUUUAAAGAAAGUGGUCGAAGGAGCAUUUGAAUAGACUUGAAUCAUGGGCAGAGCCUGCAAUGCGAAGAUCUGGGGAAGACAAUUCCAGGCAAAGAGGCCAGCAUGAGUCAAGGUUGUGUGUGAGGAGUGAAGGUGGUGCUUUGAAAGAUUAGCAAGAAGUCACAGUGGCUGGAGCAUAAUGAAUUAGGGGUGAGUAGUGGGAUUUGAGGUCUGAGAGGCAAGAGGUAGGGACAUCUCACAAAGGGACUUGUAAUAUGGUUAGACAUUUGGACUUUUUUUCUAAGCGAAAUAAAAAGCCAUUGAUUGGAAGGGUCUUAAGUUGAGGAGUUACAUUUGAUCAUGAUUCACAUUUUUAAAAGAUCACUGUGGUGGCUGUGUGAAAAAUAGAAUGUAGAGGGGCAAGAGUAGGAACAAAGAGACCAGGUAGCUGACUAUUACAGUAAUCCCCUUGAGAGGUGAUGGCAGCUGGGAUUAGGGUGGUGGCAGUGGAGCUGGCGAGAAGGGGCUGUGUAGGGAUAUUGCAGGAUUUGUAGGUGAGUUGGGCAUGGUGUGAUAAAAAGAAGAGAUAAAUUGAGGUUGAUGACUAAGUUUUGCCAGAGCAACUGGUUGCAUGGGGUGGCCAUUUGUAGACAUGAGGGAAGACAGGGAAAGGGUCAGGAUGGGGGUGAGGGAGGAGAGAAAAUAAAUUCAUGUUUUGGACACGUUAAGUUUUGAGGUGCCUACCUGGUCUCCAAAUGAAUCUGUCAAGCAGCUACUUGGAUAUUUGAAUCUGGAGCAGGGGAGAGGUCAGGACUGGAGAUUAGCUAAAUUUUGCCAGAGGUGUAGCUAGAAUCACCCAGAGAGAGAAUGUGUAUAGAGCAGAGGAGGCCUGGAGCUAAUCUCUGGGGUACCCCGAUAUCUAGAGGUGGAGAUGAGGAGGAGAGCCACCAAAGAGAACCGAGGAGCAGCAGCCAGUCAGUAUUAUGUAAAUGUAAUCCUAUAGUUUUAUAGUUAUGUUUCCAUAAAUAUUCAUGGACACAUAGGGAAAAAUUUCCUUUUGGUAACAUCUAUGAGGUUUAGACUUUUCUUGGUGUGGCACUUGCUGCCUCUGUUUCAUUUGUAAGCAUUCAUUCAUGGAGGAAUAACCUCCCAAAGGUUUGUAGCAAGCAUUCCUGGGGAUCUAUUGGUAGCUUGGACAGAAGGCUGAGUGCCUGGAGUUGUUCACAUCCCCGCUUUGCCCGCUGUCACUCUGCCCUGAGGUCACUAAAGGAAGUCAGGUGUGAAUGCUGGGAAGGCAGAAACUGGCAGCUGUCCACCCUAUGAAAUGAUGCUUGCUUUCUCAGGCCUCCCUCUUCCUAAUCUUUCUGGUCUAUUUCCUUUGAGACAGGCUUUCAAGAGUAGUUUUGAGCUUUUAGAGCAUUCCUUGGGGCUGUAGUGGACAUGUUGGCAACUGUGACUGGAAGAAAUCAUAACAGCAUGGAGGCAACAGAUGGAAAAAUUUGAAGUUUCAUUUAAAUAAUGAUCUUAAAAAAAUGUCCCUUUAUCUACUUAUUCCAGAUCAUCUGGAUGAUGCUUAAUACCA
rnacentral:lncRNA from 1 species